rnacentral:rRNA from 1 species
ACAGAGACUGCAAGCGUUAUUCGGAUUCACUGGGCGUAAAGGGUGCGCAGGCGGCCGGGUGUGUCAGAUGUGAAAUCCCGAGGCUUAACCUCGGAACUGCGUCUGAAACUACUCGGCUAGAGUAUUGGAGAGGGUAGCGGAAUUCACGGUGUAGCAGUGAAAUGCGUAGAUAUCGUGAGGAACACCAGAGGCGAAGGCGGCUACCUGGACAAUUACUGACGCUCAGGCACGAAAGCGUGGGGAGCAAAAGGGA